rnacentral:tRNA from 1 species
UAUACUUUAGUAUUUAUGUACAAAGAUUUUUGAUUUCUUAGGUAAUAAUUAAAUUUAUUAAGUAUAG